GCCAGACUCCUACGGGAGGCAGCAGUGGGGAAUAUUGGGCAAUGGGCGCAAGCCUGACCCAGCAACGCCGCGUGAAGGAAGAAGGCUUUCGGGUUGUAAACUUCUUUUGACAGGGAAGAGCAGAAGACGGUACCUGUCGAAUAAGCCACGGCUAACUACGUGCCAGCAGCCGCGGUAAUACGUAGGGAGCGAGCGUUGUCCGGAAUUACUGGGUGUAAAGGGAGCGUAGGCGGGGAUGCAAGUUGGGUGUUAAAUCUACCGGCUCAACUGGUAGUCGCACUCAAAACUGCAGCUCUUGAGUGAAGUAGAGGCAGGCGGAAUUCCUAGUGUAGCGGUGAAAUGCGUAGAUAUUAGGAGGAACACCAGUGGCGAAGGCGGCCUGCUGGGCUUUUACUGACGCUGAGGCUCGAAAGUGUGGGGAGCAAACAGGAUUAGAUACCCGUGUA
rnacentral:rRNA from 1 species